rnacentral:rRNA from 1 species
UACGGAGGUGGCGAAUGUUGCUCGGAAUUACUGGGCGUAAAGGGCGCGCAGGCGGAUGAUCAAGUCAAGAGUGAAAUCUCCAUGCUUAACGUGGAGCUUGCUUUUAAAACUGGUCGUCUGGAGUCAUGUAGGGGAUGACGGAACACCUGGAGUAGCGGUGAAAUGCGUAGAUAUCAGGUGGAACACCGAUGGCGAAGGCUGUCAUCUGGACAAGGACUGACGCUGAGGCGCGAAAGCCGGGGGAGCAAACAGGAUUAGAUACCCUGGUAGUCCCGGCCCUAAACGAUGAGUGCUAGGUGUAUGCGCGCGAGCGUAUGUGCCGCAGUUAACGCAUUAAGCACUCCGCCUGGGGAGUACGGUCGCAAGGCUGAA